UUGGUGGUUGUUAGUUUGAAAAUGGCUUUUUAUUUAUUUUAAGAAAGUUCUUCCACAGGGGUGGUCAACAUA
rnacentral:tRNA from 1 species